UACGUAGGUGGCAAGCGUUAUCCGGAAUUACUGGGUGUAAAGGGCGUGUAGGCGGAUAGACAAGUCUGGUGUGAAAACUUGCAGCUUAACUGCAAGCUGUCAUUAGAAACUGUAUAUCUUGAGUGUCAGAGGGGAAAGUGGAAUUCCUAGUGGAGCGGUAAAAUGCGUAGAUAUUAGGAGGAACACCGGAGGCGAAGGCGACUUUCUGGCUGACAACUGACGCUGAGGCGCGAAAGCGUGGGGAGCAAACAGGAUUAGAUACCCU
rnacentral:rRNA from 1 species